CCCUUAACUAAAAAAAAAGAUUGUUUGAGUACUUUAAGUUUUUUUUUACUCUCGUUUUGGUCCCUUCAGUUAAGUUUCCAUUAGGUUUAAUAAAAUAAUUUUUUUUGUCAAAAAAAUUAUUGUUUUUUGUAAAAAGAAUAAUCUCAAAGCCAAUGACAAGGUGACACGUGUUCAGGAGUUAACUUUUUUUUAAAACCCUAACAGAAACCUAACAGAAGGGACCAAAACGAGACUAAAAAAAAACUUAAAGUACUAAAACAAUUUUUUUUUUAGUUAAGAGA
rnacentral:pre_miRNA from 1 species